rnacentral:rRNA from 1 species
AAGCGUCUGGAAAGGCGCGCGAUACAGGGUGACAGCCCCGUACACAAAAAUGCACAUAUUGUGAGCUCGAUGAGUAGGGCGGGACACGUGGUAUCCUGUCUGAAUAUGGGGGGACCAUCCUCCAAGGCUAAAUACUCCUGACUGACCGAUAGUGAACCAGUACCGUGAGGGAAAGGCGAAAAGAACCCCGGCGAGGGGAGUGAAAAAGAACCUGAAACCGUGUACGUACAAGCAGUGGGAGCCUCUUAAUGGGGUGACUGCGUACCUUUUGUAUAAUGGGUCAGCGACUUAUAUUCUGUAGCAAGGUUAACCGAAUAGGGGAGCCGAAGGGAAACCGAGUCUUAACUGGGCGUUAAGUUGCAGGGUAUAGACCCGAAACCCGGUGAUCUAGCCAUGGGCAGGUUGAAGGUUGGGUAACACUAACUGGAGGACCGAACCGACUAAUGUUGAAAAAUUAGCGGAUGACUUGUGGCUGGGGGUGAAAGGCCAAUCAAACCGGGAGAUAGCUGGUUCUCCCCGAAAGCUAUUUAGGUAGCGCCUCGUGAAUUCAUCUCCGGGGGUAGAGCACUGUUUCGGCAAGGGGGUCAUCCCGACUUACCAACCCGAUGCAAACUGCGAAUACCGGAGAAUGUUAUCACGGGAGACACACGGCGGGUGCUAACGUCCGUCGUGAAGAGGGAAACAACCCAGACCGCCAGCUAAGGUCCCAAAGUCAUGGUUAAGUGGGAAACGAUGUGGGAAGGCCCAGACAGCCAGGAUGUUGGCUUAGAAGCAGCCAUCAUUUAAAGAAAGCGUAAUAGCUCACUGGUCGAGUCGGCCUGCGCGGAAGAUGUAACGGGGCUAAACCAUGCACCGAAGCUGCGGCAGCGACACUAUGUGUUGUUGGGUAGGGGAGCGUUCUGUAAGCCUGUGAAGGUGUACUGUGAGGUAUGCUGGAGGUAUCAGAAGUGCGAAUGCUGACAUAAGUAACGAUAAAGCGGGUGAAAAGCCCGCUCGCCGGAAGACCAAGGGUUCCUGUCCAACGUUAAUCGGGGCAGGGUGAGUCGACCCCUAAGGCGAGGCCGAAAGGCGUAGUCGAUGGGAAACAGGUUAAUAUUCCUGUACUUGGUGUUACUGCGAAGGGGGGACGGAGAAGGCUAUGUUGGCCGGGCGACGGUUGUCCCGGUUUAAGCGUGUAGGCUGGUUUUCCAGGCAAAUCCGGAAAAUCAAGGCUGAGGCGUGAUGACGAGGCACUACGGUGCUGAAGCGACAAAUGCCCUGCUUCCAGGAAAAGCCUCUAAGCAUCAGGUAACAUCAAAUCGUACCCCAAACCGACACAGGUGGUCAGGUAGAGAAUACCAAGGCGCUUGAGAGAACUCGGGUGAAGGAACUAGGCAAAAUGGUGCCGUAACUUCGGGAGAAGGCACGCUGAUAUGUAGGUGAAGCGACUUGCUCGUGGAGCUGAAAUCAGUCGAAGAUACCAGCUGGCUGCAACUGUUUAUUAAAAACACAGCACUGUGCAAACACGAAAGUGGACGUAUACGGUGUGACGCCUGCCCGGUGCCGGAAGGUUAAUUGAUGGGGUUAGCGGUAACGCGAAGCUCUUGAUCGAAGCCCCGGUAAACGGCGGCCGUAACUAUAACGGUCCUAAGGUAGCGAAAUUCCUUGUCGGGUAAGUUCCGACCUGCACGAAUGGCGUAAUGAUGGCCAGGCUGUCUCCACCCGAGACUCAGUGAAAUUGAACUCGCUGUGAAGAUGCAGUGUACCCGCGGCAAGACGGAAAGACCCCGUGAACCUUUACUAUAGCUUGACACUGAACAUUGAGCCUUGAUGUGUAGGAUAGGUGGGAGGCUUUGAAGUGUGGACGCCAGUCUGCAUGGAGCCGACCUUGAAAUACCACCCUUUAAUGUUUGAUGUUCUAACGUGGGCCCCUUACCGGGGUUGCGGACAGUGUCUGGUGGGUAGUUUGACUGGGGCGGUCUCCUCCUAAAGAGUAACGGAGGAGCACGAAGGUUGGCUAAUCCUGGUCGGACAUCAGGAGGUUAGUGCAAUGGCAUAAGCCAGCUUGACUGCGAGCGUGACGGCGCGAGCAGGUGCGAAAGCAGGUCAUAGUGAUCCGGUGGUUCUGAAUGGAAGGGCCAUCGCUCAACGGAUAAAAGGUACUCCGGGGAUAACAGGCUGAUACCGCCCAAGAGUUCAUAUCGACGGCGGUGUUUGGCACCUCGAUGUCGGCUCAUCACAUCCUGGGGCUGAAGUAGGUCCCAAGGGUAUGGCUGUUCGCCAUUUAAAGUGGUACGCGAGCUGGGUUUAGAACGUCGUGAGACAGUUCGGUCCCUAUCUGCCGUGGGCGCUGGAGAACUGAGGGGGGCUGCUCCUAGUACGAGAGGACCGGAGUGGACGCAUCACUGGUGUUCGGGUUGUCAUGCCAAUGGCACUGCCCGGUAGCUAAAUGCGGAAGAGAUAAGUGCUGAAAGCAUCUAAGCACGAAACUUGCCCCGAGAUGAGUUCUCCCUGACUCCUUGAGAGUCCUGAAGGAACGUUGAAGACGACGACGUUGAUAGGCCGGGUGUGUAAGCGCAGCGAUGCGUUGAGCUAACCGGUACUAAUGAACCGUGAGGCUUAACCUUACAACGCCGAAG